ACAGCUAUAUCACAUUGAAACACCAGUUCUUGUAUGGUCACCGAAGUUAAGCAAGGUCGAGCCUGGUCAGUACCUAGAUGGGUGAUUGCUUGGGAAUAUCAGGUGCUGCAAU